CAUCCGAGCGUAUGUAUGUACUCCAUACGUAUUGUCGUUACUCAGAAGCAGGUUACAGAGUUACAGGCACAUAGAAGCAGGUUACAGGAGGAAUUCGCCGGACUUCCGCCCUCCACCGGGGAUGGUGGGCGGAGCAUGUCGGAGUCGAACCGACUAAAACCUCCUUUUGCUCAACACCCAACGUUCAAACCUCGCAUGAGACACAACUCAUGAAAAGGCAAAGGGGGGAAAGUGAAGCGUUUAGUGCGGAGCACAUCUCUCCCAUCACCCUCCCCCUCGGGACGCCGGACCGGCGGUCGUCGGCGCCACAACCACCAGCCCUCUCGGUUAGUUAACCCUAACUUGUUGUUACAAGCUAGCUGCUGCUGUUACGGUUGCUGUUUAGAACCUUAAAAAUAGCUUGAAUUUUAAAUCAUGAUUAUUGAUCUAGUGAGCUGUGCUAUGUCACUACACUAGGUUUUCUAGAUUCCAUUACCGGUCAUAGUCAGCUAUUUUUAUUAAAGAUGUUUGAUAUUUG